rnacentral:lncRNA from 9 species
UUUUUUUUUUUUUGAAUGUAAGAAACAUGUGAGACCAGUGUACAACACAGAGAACUCUACCCAGUAUUCCGUGAUAACCUAUAAAGGAAAAAAAUCUGAGAGAGACUGGAUGUGUGUGUACAUGUAUAACCGAAUCACUGUGUUGUAGAAAAGAACUUAUCACAACCUAAUAAAUCAACUAUACUUCAACAAAACUUCAAAAAAUGAAAAAAAUGAAAUAAAAAAUAAAACACUGAUCACAAACAAAACACAUCCACAGACUAGAUUCAACAUUCUGACUACUUGAUUCCAACAUCUAAUCUAUUGUUUCAAAGACUCCAGGGAAGAAAUGACUGAGGUGACAUCUACACCCACACAUUCAAAAGGGCAAGAAAAUAUUACCAAUAAUGAGGCCAAUCAACUUAUGAAACCAGUCUGGAACAGGCACAGAUGUUAGAAUUAGGAGACAAGGAAACCAAAGCAGUUAUUACAGCUAUAUUCCAUAUGGUUAGGAAGUUCAGUGGAAACAUGAAAGAUGUCUUUAAAAAGUCAAAUCGAACUUACAAAAAUGAAAACUAAUAUGUCUGAAAGGAAAUAUACACUAGCUAGUACAUGUGAGACAUCAGGCACUGCAGAAGAUUAGUAAACUUUUAAGACAUAGCAAUAAGAAAUAUCCAAAAUGGCACAGGGAGAGAAAAGAUAGUUUUAGAAAAACGGAGGAGUUCCUGCUGUGGCACAGUGGGUUAAGAAUCCGAUUGUAGCAGCUUGGGUCACUGCCAAGGUGAGUUCUAUCCCCAGCCUUGCACAGUGGGUUAAAGGAUCUGGCUUUGCCUCAGCUGCAGUUCAGGUUGAAUCCAUGGCCCAGGGACUUCCGUCUGCCAUGGGUGGAAAAGAAAAGAGAAAAGAAAAAUGAAGAGCCUCAGUGAGUUAUGGGACACUUUCAAGCAGUCUAAUAUAUGUACAAUGGGAGUUAUAGAAAUGGAGGGGGAGAGGCAGAAAAAAUAUUUUAAAAAAUACUGGCUACAAUUUUUCAAAAUUUAAUGACAACUACACCCACAAGUCCAAAAAGCCCAAUAAAUACACUUCCCCCAAAGAUACAUGGAUGCAUGGAUGACAAACAAGCAGGUUCAAAGACAUCCAAAAUCAUUAGUCAUUAGAGAAGUACAAAUUUAAACCACAAUGGCAUAGCAUCCGUUAUUACUGUAUGGAAAGAACGGUCUGAUAUGGAAGAGAAUGAAUCCAUUAGACUGAGGUGGCUCUAACACCCUAGCAUUCUAUGUAAGCAAAUCAAAAUCUAAGCCUGUAUUUGCAUCAAAAGAUGUUACAAAAUCCAAAUGCUAAAAGACCACCGAUCACAGCAAGCUGACCUUUAAACCAAUCAAUAAUUAACAUUUAGCCAAUCAAUAAUUUCCUUACUUUGCUUCAAACAUUUUUCUGUAAAAGGCUCUCCCUGAGCUCUUGUUGAUGGAGCACUCCUAACCACUUCUGGUCUGGUGGUGCCCAAAUUCAAAUCAAUAUUUUUUCAAAUCAGCUGUUAAAAUUUGUGAUAUGCUUCAGUAUAUCUUUUAACACACUGAACAACUAUGAGAAUGCUGAAAUAGAAAAGAUUGACUAUAUCAAGUGUUGAUGAAGAUAUGGAGGAACUGGAACUCCCCUAAACUGCUAGAGGGAUCGAAAGACAGGACAAGAACUUUGAAAAGAAGUUUAGCAGUUUCGUUAAAAAUUAGGUACAUAUUGGAGUUCCCAUUGUGGCGCAGUGGUUAACGAAUCCAACUAGGAACCAUGAUGUUGCGGGUUCAAUCCCUGGCCUCACUCAGUGGUUAACAAUCCAGUGUUGUCAUGAGCUGUGGGGUAGGUCGCAGACGAGGCUCAGAUCCUGUGUUGCUGUGGCUCUGGCGUAGGCCAGUGGCUACAGCUCCGAUUAGACCCCUAGCCUGGGAACUCCAUAUGCCAUGGGAAUGGCCCUAUAAAAGGCAAAAAGAAAAAAAAUUAAGUAUAUAUAUACCCAAUGAUCCAACCAUUACAUUCUUGAAUAUUACCCAAGAGAAAUAAAAGCAUAUGUGGAUGCAAACAUAUCAAUUUGUACCUGGAUUUACAUAGCAGCUUUAUUUAUAACAGCCAAAACUUGACACAACUCUUCAACAGGUGAACAGAUAAGCAAACUGGGGUAUAUCUAUACAAUGGCAUUCUACUAGCAGUUACAAGGAGCUAUUAAUCUGCACUACAGCAUGGAUGAAUCCCCAAUAAGCAUACUGAGUGAAAGAAGCCAGACAAGAGUAUAUAAUGUAUUAUUCCAUGUAUAUAAAAUUCUAGGAAAUUCAAGGUACCUAUAGAGACAUAAGGCAGAUCAGUGAUUGCAAGGGGGAAGGAGAGCAAGAGAGAAGGGCUGCAAAGGACCACAAAGAAACUUUUGGGGAUUACGGACACAUUUAGAACUUGACUAUAGUAGUGGUUUCAAGACUUUCCAAAAUGUGCAUGCAGUUUACUGUGUGCAAUUAUAUCUCAAUAAAGCUAUUUAAAAAAAAACAGUGUCUGCAGGCAAUGGACACUCAAAAAUAUUUGUUGAGUUAGAAACAAAAAGAGGGAGUUCCCAUCAUGUCUCAAUGGAAAUGAAUCUGACUAACAUCCAUGAGGAGGCAGGUUCGACCCCUGGCCUCGCUCAGUGGGUUAAGGAUCCUGUGCUGCUGUGAGCUGUGAUGUAGGUCGUAGACUCAGCUUGGAUCUAGUGUUGCUGUGGCUGUGGCAUAGGCAGGCAUCUGCAGCUCUGAUUCCACCCCUAGCCUAGGAACCUCCAUGUGCCACAGGGGUGGCCCUAAAAAGCAAAAAAAGAGAAAAAGAAAAGAAAAGCAUGGUUACAAAGAGUGAAGGAUUCUUCACUUGGACAUCCUUGAGGGGGAGAGGUACCACUGCCCAUAAGCCAGCCCCAUGAUGCUCCCAGGGAUCAUUAAUACCUUCACAGGGACCCAGUUGACAGCACAUUUAAUCCAAGGUCAUUUAAAUAAUAUCCAC